rnacentral:rRNA from 1 species
UGGGGGAUAUUGCACAAUGGGCGAAAGCCUGAUGCAGCGACGCCGCGUGGGGGAUGAAGGCCUUCGGGUUGUAAACUUCUUUUGCUCUGAACAAGGCGCACCAUGGGGUGUGUUGAGUGUAGGGGUUGAUUAGCGCCGGCUAACUACGUGCCAGCAGCCGCGGUAAUACGUAGGGCGCGAGCGUUGUCCGGAAUUAUUGGGCGUAAAGGGCUUGUAGGUGGCUGGUUGCGUCUGUCGUGAAAGCUCAUGGCUUAACUGUGGGUUUGCGGUGGGUACGGGCUGGCUUGAGUGCAGUAGGGGAGGCUGGAAUUCCUGGUGUAGCGGUGGAAUGCGCAGAUAUCAGGAGGAAUACCGGUGGCGAAGGCGGGUCUCUGGGCUGUUACUGACACUGAGAAGCGAAAGCAUGGGGAGCGAACAGG